rnacentral:rRNA from 1 species
CCUACGGGUGGCAGCAGUGGGGAAUAUUGGGCAAUGGGCGCAAGCCUGACCCAGCAAUGCCGCGUGAAGGAAGAAGGCUUUCGGGUUGUAAACUUCUUUGACAGGGGAAGAGCAGAAGACGGUACCCUGAAAACAAGCCACGGCUAACUACGUGCCAGCAGCCGCGGUAAUACGUAGGUGGCAAGCGUUGUCCGGAUUUACUGGGUGUAAAGGGAGCGUAGACGGCGCUGCAAGUCCGGAGUGAAAGCCCAUGGCUUAACCAUGGUACUGCUCUGGAAACUGUGGAGCUUGAGUGCGGGAGGGGCAGGCGGAAUUCCUAGUGUAGCGGUGAAAUGCGUAGAUAUUAGGAGGAACACCGGCGGCGAAGGCGGCCUGCUGGACCGUAACUGACGUUGAGGCUCGAAAGCGUGGGGAGCAAACAGGAUUAGAUACCCCUGUAGUC